UUAAAUUGAGAGUUUGAUCCUGGCUCAGGAUGAACGCUGGCGGCGUGCCUAAUACAUGCAAGUCGUACGCUAGCCGCUGAAUUGAUCCUUCGGGUGAAGUGAGGCAAUGACUAGAGUGGCGAACUGGUGAGUAACACGUAAGAAACCUGCCCUUUAGUGGGGGAUAACAUUUGGAAACAGAUGCUAAUACCGCGUAACAACAAAUCACACAUGUGAUCUGUUUGAAAGGUCCUUUUGGAUCGCUAGAGGAUGGUCUUGCGGCGUAUUAGCUUGUUGGUAGGGUAGAAGCCUACCAAGGCAAUGAUGCGUAGCCGAGUUGAGAGACUGGCCGGCCACAUUGGGACUGAGACACUGCCCAAACUCCUACGGGAGGCUGCAGUAGGGAAUUUUCCGCAAUGCACGAAAGUGUGACGGAGCGACGCCGCGUGUGUGAUGAAGGCUUUCGGGUCGUAAAGCACUGUUGUAAGGGAAGAAUAACUGAAUUCAGAGAAAGUUUUCAGCUUGACGGUACCUUACCAGAAAGGGAUGGCUAAAUACGUGCCAGCAGCCGCGGUAAUACGUAUGUCCCGAGCGUUAUCCGGAUUUAUUGGGCGUAAAGCGAGCGCAGACGGUUUAUUAAGUCUGAUGUGAAAUCCCGAGGCCCAACCUCGGAACUGCAUUGGAAACUGAUUUACUUGAGUGCGAUAGAGGCAAGUGGAACUCCAUGUGUAGCGGUGAAAUGCGUAGAUAUGUGGAAGAACACCAGUGGCGAAAGCGGCUUGCUAGAUCGUAACUGACGUUGAGGCUCGAAAGUAUGGGUAGCAAACGGGAUUAGAUACCCCGGUAGUCCAUACCGUAAACGAUGGGUGCUAGUUGUUAAGAGGUUUCCGCCUCCUAGUGACGUAGCAAACGCAUUAAGCACCCCGCCUGAGGAGUACGGCCGCAAGGCUAAAACUUAAAGGAAUUGACGGGGACCCGCACAAGCGGUGGAGCAUGUGGUUUAAUU
rnacentral:rRNA from 1 species